rnacentral:rRNA from 1 species
UAAAGUUGUUGCAGUUAAAAAGCUCGUAGUCGAAUUUCGGGAUUAGUAAGUUGGUCGUGCCUCUGGUAUGUACUGGCUUUACUGGUUCCUCCUUCUUGAAGAACUGUAAUGUCAUUAAUUUGGUGUUGCAGGGAAACAGGACUGUUACUUUGAAAAAAUUAGAGUGUUUAAAGCAGGCUAACGCUUGAAUACAUUAGCAUGGAAUAAUGAAAUAGGACGUUUGAUCCUAUUUUGUUGGUUUCUAGGAUUGACGUAAUGAUUAAUAGGG